CUGCUUGCUUCGGCAGCACAUGCACUAAAAUUGACAGAAGACAAAGAUUAACAUCGUCCCAGCACAGGAUGACACACAAAUAUUUAUGAAGUAUGUCCGAGUUUU
rnacentral:snRNA from 1 species